GUAAGAUGAUGGGACUUGCAUAUUGUAAGACAUGGGAGUAAUCCCAGUAAUUCAGAUGAAAAAACACUAAUCUGAGUUAAUGAUGACUGAGACAUAAUGAACUCAUGUAGAGCAUCCCCUACUCUUCAGCUGGGCUAAAUUGCUAAUAGGGACGUUAAUUGGAUGAGGGCUCUUAUGAGCUGCAGCUGAAGUUGGACCCAUCAGUGCCUUUAUCUGACAAACCAACCGGCUCAGCUCUGCCACGUCAGCAUACAUGUGAAGUCUUCUCUUUCCGUCUAGUCGGUAAGCCUAUUCCACCAAGUCUAGAUGGAUUUUCCAGCUGCCUUGUGAUUUGAUUAACCCAAGUUAAUUCUCAUCAGAUGAUUUGAAACAGUCUGGUCCAACUUCUUCAGAUACCUUGGUAGUUGCAAACUGAUCUCUACCUACUCAGAACUACCCAGGAUCACUUCCUAUAAUUCAGAUCAUCUGUGUUGCCUUUGGGGUCUGAUUCAAAUUCUGCUAAACCAGCAUAACAACCCCCCCUUGAUCUAACAGGCUUUGGACCAGCCUCCCAUCUCUUUGAGACAGCAGGUCAUAUAUCUGACUAAAGAUUAGUACAGCACCCAGCGUUGACCCAAGAAGGUGUACCCAGAACCACAUCUCAGCUCUGGGCAGUUCUGACCAUCUUCAGAUACCAAAGAGCCUCAGAAAUAACAACAUACCAGAAAGUCCUCGGCACAUGGAUUUUGGGGCAUAAAGAGAAUGUAAGAUCUGCCAUCUAAAUAAAAGUCUCCCCCAGCCGUACCACACUAUGAGGAUUUCAGCCAGAUGCUGCUGCUUCUUGGACUGUGGGGCUGGAACUGCAAAGUAGUUGAAUCAAGAGAGUGGCCAUACAGAAGGAAGUUGUGGAGGAAUAUGGAAAAGAUCUGUCUGCAUCACAGCACUCGGUUCAUCUCCUUGGCAGGGGCCUUUCUAUCAGCAGCAGCGCCUAAUCAUUAAACAGAUGGGCUGAAAAACCACUUUGCAAUAUAGAUGGGCUGAGAAGAGAAGCAUAGUUUUAAAUCCACGUAUAGGCUGUUCAUUGACAGAGUUUUUCCAGAGGGCUGUCUUUCCUGGGGUCCAGCUGACCACAUGGCACAAAGAGGUCCGUCCAAUAACAGUGGGAUCCCUGCCCAUGCCUGAUGUGCACAUCUCCUGAAAAGCUUAAGCAGGCAUCACGAGAUGCUCCUCCCCAACUGAAGGUGGCAGUGAGGGACGUCUGCCUUUCUCAUGGUGUCACACAGUGAGGUUGGGACACUUUGCCAAUGCAAGUGCAUCUACACCAGGGUGUUUUUGCCCACUGAGUAGCCCACUGGCUACGGUUUCAAUUUUUUCAUGCAUCCAACUGGCAGAGGAAAAAAAAAAAACAGAAGUCUAUCUAGUGCCCAACAUCACACUUGCUGAAUUUUUCUUUCUUUUCCCUAUCAGAUCCUUGUUUCACUGUUUUAUUUAUAGUACGUUCCAGGCCACGAUCAAGUGCUCUGUUUUGUAAGAUGUGGGCAAAAAGACAACAAAAACCCCUUCGGGAACCUGAAGCAAAGCUGUCCCUGCUUACUGUGGAAAGACAAGGCCCAAGAGGAUGUGGUGACUGAAGGUCUUGACAGCAAAAUAUCCCUGAACUCCUGCACCUACAAAGCCCUUUUCCUUGGAGCGGUCCUGGAGCAUUCUCAUCUCCCAGGAAUGCAACGCCCUUCUUAGAAGCACAAGAUGGAUAAGCCAUUGGGAGCACGCUGCUUGGGAGAACACUGAGACUGGGGAGUUCUCAAUGGGAUCGGGAGAGCCAUAGUUUCACAAAGAGGUUAUUCACCCAUUUGUUGUGGUUAUUGAUUUCUUAAAAAUCAG
ensembl:lncRNA